rnacentral:rRNA from 1 species
CCUACGGGAGGCUGCAGUGGGGAAUAUUGCACAAUGGGGGAAACCCUGAUGCAGCGACGCCGCGUGAGUGAAGAAGUAUCUCGGUACGUAAAGCUCUAUCAGCAGGGAAGAAAGUGACGGUACCUGACUAAGAAGCCCCGGCUAACUACGUGCCAGCAGCCGCGGUAAUACGUAGGGGGCAAGCGUUAUCCGGAUUUACUGGGUGUAAAGGGAGCGUAGGCGGCGGCACAAGUCCGGAGUGAAAUCCCGAGGCUUAACUGAGGGAAUGCUUUGGAAACUGUUCGGCUAGAGUGCAGGAGAGGUAAGUGGAAUUCUUAGGGUAGCGGUGAAAUGCGUAGAGAUUAGGAGGAACACCAGUGGCGAAGGCGGCUUGCUGGACUGUAACUGACGCUGAGGCUCGAAAGCGUGGGGAGCAAACAGGAUUAGAUACCCGUGUAGUC